rnacentral:tRNA from 3 species
GCCCGGAUGGUGGAAUAGGUAGACACAAGGGAUUUAAAAUCCCUCGGCGUUCGCGCUGUGCGGGUUCAAGUCCCGCUCCGGGUACCA